UGCCAGCAGCCGCGGUAAUACGGGGGGAGCAAGCGUUGUUCGGAUUUACUGGGCGUAAAGGGCGCGUAGGCGGCCACCGCAAGUCGACUGUGAAAUCUCCGGGCUUAACUCGGAAAGGUCAGCCGAUACUGCGGGGCUAGAGUGCAGAAGGGGCAACUGGAAUUCUCGGUGUAGCGGUGAAAUGCGUAGAUAUCGAGAGGAACACCUGCGGCGAAGGCGGGUUGCUGGGCUGACACUGACGCUGAGGCGCGAAAGCUAGGGGAGCGAACGGGAUUAGAUACCCCGGUAGUCCUAGCCUUAAACGAUGAAUGCUUGGUGUCUGGGGUUUUAUAGUCCCCGGGUGCCGUCGCUAACGCUUUAAGCAUUCCGCCUGGGGAGUACGGUCGCAAGACUGAAACUCAAAGGAAUUGACGGGGGCCCGCACAAG
rnacentral:rRNA from 1 species